UACGGAGGGGGCUAGCGUUGUUCGGAAUUACUGGGCGUAAAGCGUGCGCAGGCGGUUUUGUAAGCCAGAUGUGAAAGCCCCGGGCUUAACCUGGGAAUGGCAUUUGGGACUGCAAGGCUUGAGUGCGGCAGAGGAGACUGGAAUUCCUGGUGUAGCGGUGAAAUGCGCAGAUAUCAGGAGGAACACCGGUGGCGAAGGCGGGUCUCUGGGCCGUAACUGACGCUGAGGAGCGAAAGCGUGGGGAGCGAACAGG
rnacentral:rRNA from 1 species